AUACUAUCAAGCUAAUUAGUGAUAAAAUUAUGAUGAUAUAAGCAACCUUUAUUAUUUAUUCCAAACAAAAUAUCACCUCACGCAUAUAGCUUAUAUACUCAUAAAUACAGCUAUAAUGUAUUAUUCGGAAAAUGAAUGAAGGCUCAACAUUCUAUAUUAUAUUGGUAGGGAUUAGAAAAGAAAAUUCGAAUUCUUUUAUUAUGAACAAUUACACCUGUGACUUUCUGAAUUGAACCAGAAUAACUCUUAAAUUUCCACACAAACAAAUGUAUAAUUUAUAAACAAGACCACCCACUAUGAUUUCUUUAUAAAAAGUACUUUUAAACUUUAGACAGUUCUCAGAUUUCUUUGCGUUAUAAUCUAUAAUAUCUACUUAAUAAUCCUACUGUCUUUUCUCACGGCAGAACUUUACAUAGAGGAAGUGCAAAAACUUGAUAAAUUUGCAUAUAUUAAUUUUGUAUUAAUAGUAAUAAAUAAUUUAUUACUAUUUGCAAUAUUAUUGCUUAAAGGUAACUAACAGUAGUUAGCUCUUUAAGUUUAAUGAACGAACAAGGUGUAAAAUGUGGAUUUCUCAAAAUUGCUUUUGCAAAUUUUAAACUUUUUACCAUUUAAUAACAUUUAAUUAUCGAACUAUAUCAUAAAUCGAUUUAUUAUAUUAAAUCAUGCCUUGGAACCGUUAGACCUAAGUACUACCCCGAGAGAUCGUGACCAUCCAUAUCACUGUAGACAAGUGUACUAUAGUACCACAAAUUAAAGGAGCAGGAACGAAAGUCAAAUAAUAUCAUCAAUAAGGUCAAUUUGUACAUCUACUCUAACCAGAUCAGGAUACUGUCAGAACUCUCACAAAAGGAAUUUCCUUUCAGCUUGAAUAACCUUGAUCGAUAUACAGAAAGCGUUUAUUCCUUAUACAGGCAACGGAGACUAACACACGAUGACUUAAAACAAUUCUGAAGCAAUGUAAAUUAUCGUACAUCAUGUAAUACCAUGGUUUCCAUUGCAACUUUGAAUCACUCGAGUUGGAAUAUUUGAAACUGGCCUGGCAGUAAAAAUUUGUAUUAUCAGGUGCUUUCGUUUUGGAAGACUUUUGGUUAGAUUUGUAGAUCUCUUGGUAACUGUAGGCCUCAUACGUAUCUGACCUUUUACAAAGGGUAUAGGACCAUGUAAAGGAGCUUGUAAACAACGUUUUCAUAGAGGAUUAACUUGAAAUCUAUUUGACCAUCAAGAUACUGUUCAAUGUAUAUAGUUCUAUAGUGACCCCAAUCUCUACAAAAAGAACGAAUGACUCUUUAUACAAAAAAAGUACAACCACAGGAUUCCUCAGUUUUAGUGGUUGUGGUUGUGUGCCAGUUGUGGUUGAUUUACCUAUGUCACCACAGAAUUGUAUAUUAACUAAUAUACUUCAAUAGUCUUAAUAGUUCAGCUGCAGAAUAUCACACAUCGGUUAUAUAUUAUUACUAGUCAAUAUUAUAUUUUUCUAGAUUUUUCUGUGUACUUUUAGAAAGUUUAUUUUUGUAUAUCCAUAUAAGGCAAACAAAUUUAAGUAUUAACCUAAAGAUAUUCAUGAAGCCUAUUAUUUUUCCAGAACACAAGUCCUUCAAUUCAGGAAUUCAAAACAUAUAACCAAUUAUUUUCAUUUUUUUAGUAAAUAUAUUUAUAUUAUUCUGUAAAUGUUGCUAAAAUAUUGAAAACGUAUCAGGAAAUGUAUCUGAAAUACAAGAAUAUCUGCACAUGAAACUGCAAUAAAUAUUUUAUUUUGAAAUGACAUGUUUAGUUGUGAUGUUUCACAUUCUGACGAACACGAGUCUGUGAAUCCCAUCGGUGUAAUAAGAGAGUGCGGAAAUAUCUCGCCCCACCAACAAUCUGAGAAAAACAACACAAUUAUUGCAAAAAUUCACUUUUAAUAAAAGCAUACAUUCAUUGAAUUCUAUUUUUAUUCCUCACAUUUUUGAACUCAACAACUUAUUUCAUAAGAUGUGGUAGACGUGAAAACCCUAAGAGCGUAACAAAAGCCUCCUGAUAAACAUACUUAUGGCUCAGAGUCCGUUUUAUUUACAUAUUUAAAAAUAACACAAUAUGUUAAUUUAGACUUGAUAUUAUUCACUCCUACUUGUUUACUUUAAUAUUCCUGGAGAUUACACUGGUGGACCGCUGCCCAGUCAUAAAGGAUAGAAAAGUUUAAUAUGCUAGUUAAUUCAAGUUGUUAAUUCCAACACGACAGACACGAUUAUUAAUUAAUUACCUGCAUAUAUGCUAAUAAUUAGAUGACAAGUUAGACAUAUGAUUGUGGGGGAAACUUUUUUUACUUGCCCAGUUAUGUUCAUCCAAGUUGGGCGGAGCCGUGAAAUUAGGGAGAUUAGGAGAUUGGAUAGAUAUCUUCUUCUUCAGGUGUUAAAAAAUCUUUCUUAUUUCACCCUAAGAAAACAAACGAACAGAAUUGAAGAGAAAUUAAAAAAAAACCAAGAAAUAUAUCCUUGCGUAACACUUUUAUAAGUAAAAGAAGCUUAAUUAUGAAAUACAAAUGGCACACGGGACAGUUUUUCUUAUAUAUAAUUUUUAGACACCUCAUGGAAUAUUCUGUGAACCGCAGUUCUAUGAAACGAGCUAUAUGUAAAACAAGUAAAAAAUUAAUUCAAGAAUACAAGCGCUCCUCGCUCGAUGUAGUUGUAAAAUUUACAUAUUUUAAGAUUCUUUAAUGCGUGGUAAAUUAGGUGCUUGCAAUGAUAAUGAAUAUGACUUUCUUGGGCCUAACAUAAGCAAUAAUGUUUAUUGCUGAAACAUCCAAUAAUUACAAACACGUAUAAAACAAGGAAAAUAAUUAAAUUUAGGACUGUGAGACAUUUUUAACUCAGGAAAAUUAUGCUAAAAGUUUAGUCAGCAGUAUUUAUACAUUUAAUAUUUAUAUAAAAAAUGCUCUUUAUAAUUUUCUACAAGUACCUCAAGUCAAAACUUUCUAAUUUGUGGGACACUGUGUACCAGAAGGAAAAGGAAUAUCAUACAAAUAAAAGUUCAUAACAUAACAUACAAAUAAAAUAUUUCUUAACCGGAGAAGGUAAGGUAUCACAUGUUGCUAUCUUUUCGAAGUAUCAAAAUAUGUAUGUAUAUUAUUAAUUUAAUUGCUUAAUUUGUAUAACUCAGUGGCAUUAAAUAGUUUUUACGAAAACUCUGAAAGUUGGCAUAUUAAUAUACUCCAAGGGUAUGUCUUUUAUAAUCACCAUACAAAGAAAUUUAAUAGUCACCACACAAAAAUAAAGGGUAAAAAUACACUCGAGAAAAGAUUUUGCGUCGUUGCUCAAAAAAAGAGAAGUCGAACUGGAAUAUCCGUAUAGCUACCCAGUGGAUACAUAAUACUUAUAUAAUUACCAAGUAUACCUACACACUUUUGUGAGACUGGAUUACGCAUGUCUUUGAGGCAAUUCUGAGGAAUUGAUUUUCUUGGAGCGUUGGAAGUGUAGUCUCGUAUGAAAAACCAUUGACAGGUGAGCUGUAACUCAUCAUUCCGGCGAUGUAAAACAGUAUCAAGGGCUUCCACGUUAUCUCCAACUAUAAUAAUAGAAACUUCAUAUUAUAUUCCAUGAGUAUAAAAAUUCUACUACGGACAGUUCCUUUAUAAACGGCAUUUCAAUUUAUCUCACUAAACAUUUUCAAUAGAAACUAUCCAAUCCGAUCUGCGGAUCUUAAUGACCCUCGGAGAAUCGAACACGUGACCUCUCGAUUAGAGGGUCGCUUAUAUAAUCUUUGCCAUCUAUUCUAUGGUAAAUAUUAUAUAAUAUUUUAUCAUAGUUUGCCUAAGAAUAGCUAUAAGCAAUAUAUCAAGACGUUGUAAAUGCUAUAUAGAUCAGUAGUUUCAUUUUCAAUUUUAGUAGAAAGCCACUAAUGUCCGUGAAUAUUACUUAUUAGUUAUUUGAAAUAUUUUACUACUGAGCAAUUAAUAAUUCAUAAUUAAUUAAUAAUUUGUCAGUCAUAAGAAGUGUAUAACAGCUGGCAACAAUUUUGACUCCUGAACUUGAAAUGUACAUAGUACACACAUUUUUUUUUUCUUAGCAAUGAGACUCGUGAUCAAAUAUAUUGUUAUCCUCAAUAUUAGAUCUACUUGUAACUAAGCUAAUAUAGGCAAUAUUAGAUCGAUUUGAAUGAGGCUUCUCAUUUCCAUAAUAGUCGCUUUAUUAAAAUUUUCUAGUAUAUUGUUUCAUAAUUUAACCCAUAUUCAAGAUUGUGUAAACUAAACUCACUUACAGUAAAAUAUAUUUAAUAUAUCAAUAUGUCCCUCGACGCAGGAUUUUGUUCCUUGUAUGGUCAAAAAAUUUAAUAAUCUGAAACAACAGCUGUUAUCAUAAUUUAUCAAUGAAGUGUUAAUUAAUUAAAAUCACCUGAUUUGUAUAAAAUAUUUACUUGUUUUCAUAUCCUGUUUAUAACCAAUAUGUGGUAUUUAUUUCAUGUGUUUUCUCGCUUGAAAGAAAAUUAUUGGAGAUACAUUUAAAAUCUCUUAUAAUGUAUAUAUAUAUUUUUUUUGUAAUCUACCACUGUCUACGUUUACGGUGCAUACAUUGGAAAUAUUGAUUAAACACAGUAGUGACUAAAAAUGUCGAGCCCGAACUCAUCAACUCGAUAUAAAAAUCCAAUGGUCACAAUCAACUUCAAGGCCAUACCCAAAGCUUGGAGAGCCAUCAGCAGAUCCUUGGACUCUGAAGACCUGGAACAAGUUCAACAGCUACCAGCAGCCUGCCUACCGAAGCCACCGAACGAUGCAUCCUUACUCAAGCUCUUCUGUAACGAUCUAUGCAGAAAACGUCGCUUCGAGUCCGCUGAGGUCGAACUUCUAUACCAUCGCUACGUGAUGCAGUCGAAUUUGACCCACUUGAGACAUCUCCUAGGAUUGAUGACAGCGUCAUGUCUAGUCCUGGAACCGGGCUUUAUCCUGAUCCAGUUCGUGAACCCGGAGGAGCAGGAGGAAGAAGGCGUAACAAUCCGUUCCUUAGUAGUCAUACUAGUCAGUGUGACCGUCUACAUUUGCUGUUUUGUUGGGCUAAUUCGAUUAGACCUGAAGGGAAUGCCUAUGACUCUCCUCUCCUACUUGCUGAUCCUGACAUUCAUCCCGCAGGAAUUCGUUUUGUCCUACACGCCCUCGCAUCUGUGGGUUACCGUAUGCUACGUCUACAUAAUCAAUGCGUUGCUGCCCAUCCGACUACAGGAGGCCCUCAUCACCAGUAUUAUCAUCACGUUUAUGAACUACCCCAUUCGGUAUUUGAACAGUAAAAAAUCCGCAGAACCUGUCUUCCAGUUAAAACAGGAGAUCACAAAUUUACUGCUCAUCUCGUGCGUCAUCAUUAUUGGCGCUAUGACACAUUUCACCAGUGACUUGGCGAAGAGGAAAGCUUUUACCGAGACUCGGCACUUUGUCGCUGCCAGGAUUGCCAUUCAACAUGAAACCAGGAGACAGAAAAAGCUGGUGAUGUCUGUGCUGCCAGAACACUUGGCCGAAGAGAUGACUGCGGAUAUUGCUGCUGUCUCGGGUACUGUCAACGAGAUGCAGAGUCUGAUCUAUAUCAAGAGCUACGAUCCUGUCAGCAUCAUAUUCGCUGAUAUCCGCGGAUUCACGGCGAUGGCAGACAGAAGUCCCGCCCAGCGUGUAGUUGAGCUUCUCAACGAGUUAUUCUGCAGGUUCGACAGACUGGCCGCCAAGAACAGGUGUCUCAGGAUCAAACUGCUGGGCGAUUGUUACCAUGCCGUGUCGGGGUUACCCAUCCCCACUCCCAACCAUGCCGACUACUGCGUCAUCCUGGGCCUCGAGAUCAUCGACACCAUGCACAACGUGCGGGAGAAGUUUGCCUCAGACGUGGGGAUCAGGGUGGGUAUACACUCGGGCCAAGUUAACUGCGGAGUGCUGGGUCUCAAGAAGUGGCAGUUCGACGUUUGGUCGAAGGACGUCACCCUGGCUAACUACAUGGAAAGUGGUGGAAUGGAUGGGUUAGUUCACAUCUCCGAGGCCACCAAAAACUACCUGUCUGACCCGAGUUGCUAUAUUUGCGAACCGGCCUAUGGUGGUGAUCGAGAACCCGCUCUCAGGAGUAUCAAUACCUACUUCGUCACAGCGAAUACACCCGAGGAGGGGCUCGAAAAUAAGCCGUCUAUAGGACUACUAACCCGAAACGAAAAUGAAGAGCUAUUUAACCUCUACCAUGCUUUGGGUACUGCAAACGUUCUGUUCUCCCCGAUGACAGCGAAGGAGAAGUCGAUCGAGAAGGAAGUGAUGGCGACCAUGAACAGCUCUAUCAACUCACGUAGUAUACGUCGCCUCAAAAAGAUCAACUGUAAGCCGAUCGUGCUUACAUUUAGGAACAGACAUCUGGAGCGAGAGUACAACAACGAGCCCGAUCAGAUGCUCCAGAUUUACUUCUUUACCGCUACUUUGGUCUACUUCAUCAUCACCAUCGUUCAAUUUAUACUCAUUCCUAUCGAUCAAAUGCUGAUCAUAUGUUCCAUAGUUGGAUUCGUGUGGACAACGCUCGCCACAGGCUUGGUGACGCUAAGCAACUGUAAAGAGAGCUUCCCAUGCAGGAUGAUAGUUUGUUUGUCCGUGAACAUAUACAGUGACAGACGCAAGGCUCAGCUCUUGGCCAUUAUAACACUCAUGAUCAUAUACGUCGCUAUCAUUCUACCUGUGCUUACAUUGGACUGCAGUGAAAAUGAAUACCUGAGAGAGAGAGCGGUUCAUCUUGUCGAUCCCAAAAUUCAUAAGGCUUUCCGGGAGAAAUGCCCAUCCUGGUAUAUGUCUUAUGUGGAGCUCCAACUUUCAAGAAGGUGUGGGACGCGAAGUCUACCGACUACUACAAGUACUACUUGAUGUUAAUCGUACUCAUAUCUUUCAUGCUGCUGAUCGUGAUCCACAGCCAACAGUCCGAGAUAAUCCAGAGGCUGGACUUUAUUUGGAAAAGACAAGCCAAUGAUGAAAAGGAGGAGGUCCAGAAGAUGCAAAAAAUCAACCAAAAGCUAAUUGAGAACAUUCUGCCUGCCCAUGUUGCCAAGAUUUACCUAGAGAAAGAUUACCAACAUAGCG
rnacentral:misc_RNA from 1 species